AUUGAACGCUGGCGGCAUGCCUUACACAUGCAAGUCGAACGGCAGCGCGGGAGCAAUCCUGGCGGCGAGUGGCGAACGGGUGAGUAAUAUAUCGGAACGUGCCCAGUAGUGGGGGAUAGCCCGGCGAAAGCCGGAUUAAUACCGCAUGAGACCUGAGGGUGAAAGCGGGGGAGUCGCAAGACCUCGCGCUAUUGGAGCGGCCGAUAUCAGAUUAGCUAGUUGGUGGGGUAAAGGCCUACCAAGGCAACGAUCUGUAGUUGGUCUGAGAGGACGACCAGCCACACUGGGACUGAGACACGGCCCAGACUCCUACGGGAGGCAGCAGUGGGGAAUUUUGGACAAUGGGCGCAAGCCUGAUCCAGCAAUGCCGCGUGCAGGAAGAAGGCCUCGG
rnacentral:rRNA from 1 species